AUUGAGAACCUUUGUAGUAAGCCUGUUAAUUAAGAAAGUCAUUCUGGAACUUUGAGCCAGAAGAGUGAGAGCAGUUUCAGUUAUAUGGCAGUGUUUUCUUUCAAUUUUGCCAUUUUGAUUAUGAGUAUGAGGACUGGAUGUUGAAAGAUUAUUCCAAAAUCAUUUAAAAUUGUCUUGAGAGGUCGGUAUUCACUACCCCAAUCAGCCUGAAAUAUUUUAAUUUUUUUAUUAGUUAAAUUUUCAACCAUUUUUUUGGCAUAAUUUUAGCCUUUGAUUGACUCCCAAAAAGGCUUUCAAUAGAGGACCAAAGCUGAUGGGCAGUAAUCGGAUGUGAUGCCUUGGUGAUCUGUGUAUGAAUUUCAGGUGAUAUGGAGGGAUAAAAUCCAGCCAACAAGUGCUUGGUCAAGACGUCUCCACUGGUGAUAAACUGGGUUCGGCGUGCUUGGUCAAGACGUCUCCACUGGUGAUAAACUGGGUUGGGCACCGUCGUUUGUAAUUCUGAUAUGAUGCCUUGGUGAUCUGUGUAUGAAUUUCAGGUGAUAUGGAGGAUAAAAUCCAGCCAACAAGUGCCUGGUCAAGACGUCUCCACUGGUGAUAAACUGGGUUCGGCACUGUCGUUUGUAAUUCUGAUGUGAUGCCUUGGUGAUCUGUGUAUGAAUUUCAGGUGAUAUGGAGGAUAAAAUCCAGCCAACAAGUGCCUGGUCAAGACGUCUCCACUGGUGAUAAACUGGGUUCGGCACCGUCGUUUGUAAUUCUGCUUCAUUACGCAUGACAAUAGUACGAGGUGGUGGAUGGAGACUUCCAUCAACAAAGGCUUCCAUGUUACAUCCAACAAUGGCUGGCAGUAUUUGCAAUCUCCAUAUAAUAUAAUUGUGUUGUUCUAAUCGAAAGGGAAAAGUGUAAUUUGGGAGGGUAAUAUCUGAGAAAGAUGGAAUGACUGAGACAGGAAUAACGGCAGAAGAAGUGGUGGAAGGACUGGCCAUUUGGAUCGAGAAACUUGUUUGAGUAUGCUUAAAGGUCUGAUACCUUGAAAAAUAUGUGCUAUAUGAGGAAGAGUUCCUUCUUUUUAUAUUAUUAUAAUGAGCAGUGAUAUAUAUAUAUAUAUAUAUAUACUAUACAAGACAGAGGGUCUCACGUGAGUCCCAAACACAUAAGUGAUAAGCUCAACUUUAUCACAAUUGUUAUCAUAUCUAGAAUACACUAGUUGAAGCAUAUACAACUCCUAAACAGAUUAGACAAACCAGCUACUUGAAUAUCUGUUGGUUAUUAAAAGAGUUAUCACAAGACACGUCAGAAGCAGCUGCUGCAUUAGCACCAGAUGGAGUUGUGCUAACAGUUAGCAAGCAAAUGAGAAACCAACCUCCGAGACGGUGUUGGGGAAGAACAUCACAGGAAAAGAAGCAGCAGAGAAGAAUAGGUGAGCUGCUAGUGCUGCAAAAGUGCCGUCUGGGCAAGGAUAGUGGUAUAGAACCGCAGGUUUCUUCUGCAUCGUCGUAUUCAUGGUGAUUAUGGGUUUGGAUAAACCCAAACCCCACAGAGCCUUCAACGCCAUGUUUGGUUGCUCUGCUUCACUGAGAGUUUUUGAGGUAUGAGACAAUGAGAAGAAUCAUGAGCUUCUUGGCUUUAAAAGUAGAUGCACUUUGAAACAUGGAAAUAAUGAUCUCUUUAAACAAGAAUUACGGUUUGGAUGGUUAUUUUUUCAACUUGUUUUGAGAAAGGAAAUCAAGCAAGUCCAUGCUACUUGUAGAUAGCAAUAAACCAAAUCUCUUAGUUCGAUUUUGUAAUGGGGGAAGAACGAAAAGAAAAUUAAACAUCAAGCAUUUAAAAUAAAAUAAAAUUAGUUCCUAUUUGUUUCAAUAUUCUUGGCCAAUUUUUAUUGGACCAAUCCAAAUCAUUCUCCAACAUAAAUUACUCUGUUUCUAAUAAAGAAAAGAUAAAUAUGGUACAAAGUUUCAUCACACCAUAAAUGAGAAUUUUGUUCAAAAACAGUAAAUAAAAUGAUGUAUAAAGGACAUUUGUCUUACAAAAUGUGAAAACAACAAAUCAACUACUGUUAUACUCUAUCUCUUAGCAUGAUUCCACGAUCUCACUGAUCUCUUUGGAUUCAUCAUCUAAAAUUGGUUUUGAGUAUCUCGAAUUUAAUUUCAACCAUUCAUCAUUUACAGGCUUUUCUUGUGGACAUACGAAAGGCUUUGGAGGCAUUUGUAGCUUUCAGCUUCUCCUUCUGGAUCAUUUGGAUUCAUCUGUAUACACCAUAGUGCAACUAUAUAAUCAUCUUCUUUCUUGUUUUUUAUUCAUCCUCUACUAGUUCAGUUGCACAGACCAUAUCCACCAUAGUGCAACCAUAAAAUUUCUGUGAUUGGUUCUAAUUAAAAUUCUUAACGUAAUUGGUUCAUACCCUCUAACUUUUAGGGAUUUUGCACUAUUGUCAUCCCUAGUUUAUUAUUUUUACAACUUUAUCAUUUAUAGUAUCAAAUUAGCGUUAAUAUCUUUUAAAGUUUGUAAACAGUGGUAGCAUCAAUAUAAAACCUUUUAAUGUUACUUUUUUAAAUGUUAAAUUAUAUUAAUCAGAAAAAAAUUUUGAUUAUGAUUAUACUAGGAGAGUGGAAUAUCUUUAUGUCAAGUGCACAUACAUUUUAAUAGUUAAAAAAUCACAAGGUGAAAAUUUUAGACCGCGGUUGCAUGUUCAAAGACUUCAAAGGCAUUGGUACGAAUUCAGUAUAAUAGAAGGUAUGGUGCAAAAAUGCAAACUAGAAUUACUACCCCAUUCUUAACUCUUUAAAAUCAAACCCAUUAGAUGACAUCAAGCUCUUUUUAUAAAUGGAUAAAUUUGAUUUAGACCUUCUUAAUUUUAUGAUAAUUAUAUUUGUGAAUUUUAACUGUAAAAAUUAAAAGAAAAAAACUUAUAAAUAAGUUUUGAAUAUAAUUUUUUAAGCAUAAAUUUAACUAUAUUAAAACAAAAUUGAAAGAGUUUAAAUAAAAUUUUUCCUUUUCUCAAACAGAAAACAUGGCAUUGUUAUUGACCACUUUGUCUGCGUACAAUCUUCCUAAGACAAUAUUCAAGUCUAGUACAAUCAAUGGUUUAUAUAAAUAAAACUAUCAGUAUAGCCUAAUCCUAGAAGAAAGCCGUAAAACAGAGGUUUGGGUUGGGUGACUUGGGUCUGCAUCAAGAUUUUUGGGACCAUAUCAAGAUUUUGGCUUCCGGAUUUAUUCAAAAAUCUCUCGCCUCUUUAAUUUAUAAUAUAUUAUAAUCUGUAACAAAAAAAAAUCUAGCCAACAUAUUUGGGUAGCUGAAUGCCUAGAGUGGCUUUAUAUUUUUAUUUUGCCUGACGUACAAGGGUUGACUUAGGUAUAGGUUAGUUUUAUUGAUUCAAAAAAAAAAAAAAAAAAAAAAACAAGAUUAUUUACUAAUUUCCUACUUCUCUAUGACCCAAAAAUAAAAUAAUUAAAUAUCACUACAAAUUUUAUUAACAUUCCUAACUUUUUAAUAUCAAUAGUCUUUACAAAACGUUAUUUUUAUCCUUAAAAAUUUUUAAACUCUGUUAACUAAGAAACUCACUGACAUAAAAGGUAUUUCCCGCAACAAAAUCAGAUAUCAACGGAAGUAUCUUCAACUAACCGAAAGAAGAGAAAUAUGUAAAACUAUAAAAAAUAAAAGAUUCAAAAAAAAAAAAAAAAAAAAACACCUUCUCUUAAACAAACGUAAUUUAUUUGAUUAUUCAUCAUUUAUUAGGCACACAUACAGGUACAUAGAUAUAUUAUAGCAUAAAAGUCCAAAAGCUACCUCGUUAGAAGAGGCCAAACUCCAAACGAACAAUCCAAAGCUAUGUUUUUAUUUAUUUAUUUUUUAGACAAAGACCCAAAGGUAUCAGGUUGAGAAUACAAGACUUAAACUUGAGGUCGGUCAUAUCCCCAAUAAAGUAUAGCGCUGUUAGACCAUUUGUCUACAUUUAAAUCCUUAUUUUUAGGUGCAAAUUGGUUCUGGUUGUCAUUGGAAGGCUUAUCUUUGAGCUCAUCGGUAUUUUCAGUUUGAGGUCUAUCAUAUCCCCAAUAAAGUACUGCAGAGUUAGACCAUUUGUCUACUUUUAAAUCCUUAUUACCAGA